rnacentral:lncRNA from 10 species
CACGUGUGUACCUAUGUAACAAAACUGCACGUUUUGUACAUGUACCCUAGAACUUAUAAAAAUAAAAAAAAUUUGCACUGAAGAGCAAACAAAAACCACAACAAUUCCAGGUAAAUGCUUUUAAAUUAGAGCAGGUCAACCUAAUUGUUUUUUGCUUUUCAGACUGGCAACUCUUGAGAAUCUCAUAAUUUUCCAUAAAAUCUAUAAAUAAGUAUUCCUCUUUCAAAAGGAGUACAGGGCCCCCUCUGCUGGGAUCCAGGAACAAGCUAGCAAGGCCUCCAGACAGGGGAUUUCCACUGAUCCUUUGUCACUACUGAGCCCAAAAGUGCACGGGCAGCAAGUUACCAAAUCGCCUUCCACAAGGUCUACAAACCCAUCUGGGACACAUGGCAGGGACCAACACGCUUCUAGACUUCCCAUGUUCCAAGUCCACUUCUGCCGGCAGAAUAGAAACCUCGUCAGUUAUCACAACUCAGGGAGGACAAAUGGAUUCCUGAGGUGCAGGGCAAUCAACAGAUGAGAUCCAAGAGUCAGAACCCUGGAAUGGACCACCAGAACUUUCCCAUGGAGCCCCAGGACUUCUUCCCCCAAUUCCUGCUGUUUCUCCUCCUCCCUGUAGCAGGCUUCUUAAAGCAGGUAGUUUGACCUGCUGAGCAUCACAUUGCAUAAAACAAUGCCGGAAGACUUGAGCAAUGGUGACUUACCAAGACAGCUGGCUGCCUAUGUUUAUGGCAUUUGGAAUCCACCGGGAACACAUACAUUUGUCACAGUGUGUUCCCGAAAUAAAUGAGGCUGUCUCCCAACUGGCCCCAUAUAAUCAACGCAGCCCAGCCCCACAUAGCUACUCCAAUGAAUAAUGCUUUGUUUGCCAAAUGCAAUGGGAACCUACCACAGGCCAGGGUGCUUCCAACAACAACAACAACAAGAAACUAAAGACAGAUGAAAAAGCCUCACAGCUUGCGGUGUUGACAGUAUUCUAGAAGACCCUACACCCCUGUGGCUUCUCGAUGACUAAUGUGGAGCCAGCAUCUGUCAGCACAAACUCAGAGUGAUUACCCAGAAAUAGGUAUCCUUCUAAUUAAAAUAUCUGACCAUGUCCCCAUCAGCCACUUGCCUCAUUUGGGACACCACCAACCAUCCUGCACGGCUGCCCAUGUUUCUGUUUCUCCAGCCCAAGCAUGCAGUUUCAGUAGGUCCUUCAGAGGCUGCCUGAAAGCAUCCCGCCUCCAGAGCCCUGUGGGUUGAAGACCGCUGUGCUCUUUUCUUUCGGCUUCACACGCUGGUUAGUCUUCUGUUUGCUUUGUCAGCACGGUACUUUUCAUUUCCUUCGUGGUGUUUUUAGGAGCUCCUGAAUUUCACAGACAAAUCCAGACCCCUGUGUGGAAAGCCUGCGGUGGUGUUCUCCGUCUUCCCACAGGACUCCCUGCAGCCAGGAAUUCUAGGGGAGCACCUGACGCGAGGUAUACGCCCAGAUGGCCUGAAGUAACUGAAGAAUCACAAAAGAAGUGAAAAUGUCCUGCCCCGCCUUAACUGAUGACAUUCCACCACAAAGGAAGUGUCAAUGGCUGGUCCUUGCCUUAACUGAUGACAUUCCACCGCAAAAGAAGUGAAAAUGGCCGGUCCUUGCCUUAACUGAUGACAUUACACCACAAAAGAAGUGAAAAUGGCCGGUCCUUGCCUUAAGUGAUGGCAUUACCUUGUGAAAGUCCUUUUCCUGGCUCAUUCUGGCUCAAAAUCACCCCCACUGAGCACCUUGUGACCCCCACUCCUGCCCGCCAGGGAACAAUCCCCCUUUGACUGUAAUUUUCCUUUACCUACCCAAAUCUUAUAAAAUGGCCCCACCCCUAUCUCCCUUUGCUGACUCUCUUUUUGGACUCAGCCUGCCUGCAUCCAGGUGAUUAAAAGCUUUUAUUGCUCACACA